rnacentral:tRNA from 1 species
GCGCCAGUAGCUCAGUGGAUAGAGUGUUUCACUCCGAAUGAAAAGGCCGCGAGUUCGAUCCUCGCCUGGCGCACCA